rnacentral:rRNA from 1 species
CCUACGGGUGCAGCAGUGAGGAAUAUUGGUCAAUGGGCGCGAGCCUGAACCAGCCAAGUCGCGUGAGGGAAGACGGUCCUAUUGAUUGUAAACCUCCUUUUUCGGGGAGCAAAAGACGCCACGCGUUGCCUUCCGAGAGUAACCCAAGAAAAAGCCUCGGCUAACUCCGUGCCCGCAGCCGCGGUAAUACGGAGGAUGCGAGCGUUUUCCGGAUUUAUUGGGUUUAAAGGGUGCGUAGGCGGGCUUUUAAGUCAGCGGUAAAAAUUCGGGGGUCAACCCCGUCCGGCCGUUGAAACUGGGGGCCUUGAGUGGGCGAGAAGAAGGCGGAAUGCGUGGUGUAGCGGUGAAAUGCAUAGAUAUCACGCAGAACCCCGAUUGCGAAGGCAGCCUUCCGGCGCCCUACUGACGCUGAGGCACGAAAGUGCGGGGAUCGAACAGGAUUAGAUACCCUGGUAGUC